rnacentral:rRNA from 1 species
UACGUAGGGGGCAAGCGUUGUCCGGAAUCAUUGGGCGUAAAGAGCGUGUAGGCGGUCCGGUCAGUCGGUUGUGAAAGUCAAGGGCUCAACCCUUGAAUGCCGGCCGAUACUGCCGGGCUAGAGUCCGGAAGAGGUGAGUGGAAUUCCUGGUGUAGCGGUGAAAUGCGCAGAUAUCAGGAGGAACACCGAUGGCGAAGGCAGCUCGCUGGGACGUUACUGACGCUGAGGCGCGAAAGCGUGGGGAGCAAACAGG